rnacentral:rRNA from 1 species
GUGCCAGCCGCCGCGGUAAUACGUAGGGUGCAAGCGUUAAUCGGAAUUACUGGGCGUAAAGCGUGCGCAGGCGGUUCGGAAAGAAAGAUGUGAAAUCCCAGAGUCAACUUUGGAACUGCAUUUUUAACUACCGGGCUAGAGUGUGUCAGAGGGAGGUGGAAUUCCGCGUGUAGCAGUGAAAUGCGUAGAUAUGUGGAGGAAC